AUUGAACGCUGGCGGCAGGCUUAACACAUGCAAGUCGAGCGGGGUGAUGGUGCUUGCACUAUCACUUAGCGGCGGACGGGUGAGUAAUGCUUAGGAAUCUGCCUAUUAGUGGGGGACAACAUCUCGAAAGGGAUGCUAAUACCGCAUACGUCCUACGGGAGAAAGCAGGGGAUCACUUGUGACCUUGCGCUAAUAGAUGAGCCUAAGUCGGGUUAGCUAGUUGGUGGGGUAAAGGCCUACCAAGGCGACGACCUGUAGCGGGUCUGAGAGGAGGAUCCGGCACACUGGGACUGGGACACGGCCCAGACUCCUACGGGAGGCGGCAGUGGGGAAUAUUGGACAAUGGGGGGAACCCUGAUCCAGCCAUGCCGCGUGUGUGAAGAAGGCCUUAUGGUUGUAAAGCACUUUAAGCGAGGAGGAGGCUCUUUUGGUUAAUACCCAAGGUGAGUGGACGUUACUCGCAGAAUAAGCACCGGCUAACUCUGUGCCAGCCGCCGCAGUAA
rnacentral:rRNA from 1 species